GGCGUGUGCGGCGCACGUGCGCUGCGCUCCCGCCCGGCCCCGCAGCCAGCGCCGCCCUCGACGCCCGGAGCCGGCCGCGGGGCGGGUUUCCAGCGCCUCGUGCGUGUCCCGCGCCGCGAGCGGGAGGAGCCCGCAGCCCGAGCUCAGUGGCUGGCUCGGCGGCGCGGGGCGAUCCGCACCCUCCGCCAGCCGGGCCGGGCUCGGGGGCCCGCCGGGAGCGCCGCUCGUCGUUGCGUUUCGCCAGGUGCACAUUGGCCUGAUGUUUUCCAAGAGCUCUAUACUGUGACUCCAAGGUCCUGUUCCUGAGCGACAUUUUCCCUGCUCUAAGCACUGCAGUAGCCCUUUUCUGCUCCAAUUGCCAGUUGAUUAUCUGCAGCCGUGCCCAAGCCCCUUUGUGAAUCACCACUGCCCAAAACACGGCCUCCCACCCCACAGGGAGGUACUCCAUUCCCUGGCCCUGGGGGACCGACCUUGCAUUCGGCUGUCUGGGAACAGGUGUCUUGCUUGUAGCCGGUUUAUCAAUCCACCCAGGUCACUGUAUCUGAUCCCUCCUCCUGCUCAUUUUCAGUCCUGCCAAUCUUUGGGUCACAAGCUGACUUUAUCAGUGGUGUUUUAUGCAACAUGUCAGUGUUGUGUUGUAUUCAUUUGAGAACUGGGACGUAGCGGCAGAAUUAAAGACAGCAUUGUGAAGCACUGGACACCAGGGGCACGUGAAGGUUGAUUUAAAACACUGCUCGUGACAGAACAGCCCACAGCCCUGUUUAGGCACACGCAUCUGAGGCUAGAAUCAGAGAUGGAAGAUAGGAGGAGCGGUUCUGAUAGCCCUGCUCAACCACAAAUAGCUGCAAGAAGCAUGAACUAACUGCAGAUGGCUUCUGGGUGGGCCCAUCCGGACUGCAUUUGGCUGUUAUUUGUGAAUCCUGACACUGAAGAGAAGCACCUUUAAGAAACUCAGUGUCCAGCCCCUUGAAGAGCAUCUGUUUCAGGUUUCAGAGCUAGUUAAAGAAAUGAAAAACAACAGGAAACCAGAUCUCGUGGAAUGAGUGGAGGGUUUUUCAGAGUACAUGGAGAAGGAAACCCAGGGUGGGGUCCCUCCCACCUGGCGGAGGUUAAAACUGGUUCAGGGCGUUCGACUCGAGACAAGACACCAUUCCAGCAACUCUUCUGGAGGUUACGGGCCCCUCUCGUGGGCUGCCGGCAUGCCUUCCUUUGGCAUCCACACCAGUGACCCCAACUGUUAUGCGCUGCUCGCAGCCCGCCGUACCCAGAGAGGCACAGUGCAGACCUCCUGGCUGCACCCGUGACCUGCAAGGAUCGUGGAAUAGACUCCCGCAGUCAGAACCGUUCCCCUGCACGCACACAUACAGCUUAUGCUGCAGGCAACAGGCAGCGUCUGUGCGGGUUAGGGCCUUUAUUCCUGACACUAUGAGAUGCUGCUGAUCCCUGCAAUAAAUGGCUUUUAUUGUGCACCUUGGAUGGCUUCACCAGCCCUCUGCUCCCUCAUAAACCUCUUCCAGGAGAGCUUCUAAUAUCCCAACUUCUGAGCAGGGAUCCCAUGGCUGUCAUUGCUUCUUAAUUAAAAGAACCCACCCCCA